rnacentral:tRNA from 1 species
UAGGUAUUAGUUAAAUAAACAAUAAUAACCUUUAAAUUGCAAUUAAAAAUUGAUUUAAAUAAAAAUCAUACCUUC